CAGUAGCCGCGGGAAUACGGAGGGUGCAAGCGUUAUCCGGAUUUAUUGGUUUUAAAGGGUCCGUAGGCGGACUUAUAAGUCAGUGGUGAAAGCCUGUCGCUUAACGAUAGAACUGCCAUUGAUACUGUAAGUCUUGAGUAUAUUUGAGGUAGCUGGAAUAAGUAGUGUAGCGGUGAAAUGCAUAGAUAUUACUUAGAACACCAAUUGCGAAGGCAGGUUACCAAGAUAUAACUGACGCUGAGGGACGAAAGCGUGGGUAGCGAACAGGAUUAGAUACCCCAGUAGUCCCUGUCUCUUAUAC
rnacentral:rRNA from 1 species